UGGUUUAUCAUUGUUCCUGUGGGUUUAGCAGCACUGUUAGUUGUUGUGGUGAUCAUCAUAUGGAAGAAAACUAAAGAAAACAAAACACAACAGAGCGACAACACUGCUGAAGCCGAUGAUGAAGUUUCCUACGCCUCCAUCAGCUUCACAAAGAAAACCAAGAGUAAAGACCGGCCCCGUGUCGAUGAUGAUGGUGAGACUGUGACCUACAGCACUGUGAAGACUUUCUCUCCACCUGCUGGAGUUUCCACUGAUUCCAGCGACCUCUAUUCCACCAUCAACAAACCAAAGACAUAGUAUGUUGAUCAUGAAAGGUUGCAUGUUGUUUUUCUUGAUGCUGCAUUAAUGUUUCGAUUGUAGAGUAACUUUCUUUUCAUUUUUUUUAAAGUAAUAUGUAAUAUUGUGUUUAGUAUAUAGAUAACCACCAUGCAGCAAACACUUUUUUGUAAGUUUAACUCAAGUCAGUACAGACAAGGUAGUUUAUUUAACUGCUGAAUUAAGUCAUGUGAGAUGUUUUUAAGUAAAUAACUUGUUGUUUUCUUAAGCACAUUAGUAGAUCUAAAUCUUCCCAUUCCUUAAUUUUUUAAAUUUAAAUGCCUUAAACAUAUUCUCAUCAUUAUCUAUGACAGUAUUACAUUACACACCAAACACGAUAGGUCGUUGCGAAAAAGUCAUCUUAAAAAAAGCAACGUGAAAAAAAUGAAGUGAUGAUGAGCUAGUCUGCAUGUUUUUAAACAACAAAAGGAAGAAAUGGAGAGUCUGGGUUCAUCCAGUUCUCACACGCAGGCAGCAGCAGGGAGAUUUUCGUGGUUUUUAUCCACAACUCGAAGCUGCAUCAUAUUCACACAUUCCAGGAUGUCAGUGAGUCAGUUUGAGUGCUUGUUAGCAGAGCUGGGGCUUCAUCUGAGAAGGCAAAGAAAUACUUUCAGAGUAAACUGAGUCAGAGCAGCGUGUAACUGUGUGUCUGAGAUAAAACAGAAAUAUUUGACUAUUUCUGUAAGUCUGCAUAAUCAGUAUAGUGAUCACAUCCGUUUAUCCGUUCACAAAAAUCAGGAAAAAAAAAUCGAGCUUGGUUCCAAAAACUGAAUGCUUCAAACUGAAAU